GACGUAGGGCGCGAGCGUUGUCCGGAUUUAUUGGGCGUAAAGCGCUCGCAGGUGGUUCGUCGCGUCGUGCGUGAAAGACCCCGGCUCAACUGGGGAGGGUCGUGCGAUACGGGCGAACUGGAGGCCAGUAGGGGGAUGCGGAAUUCCGGGUGUAGUGGUGGAAUGCGUAGAGAUCCGGAGGAACACCAGCGGCGAAGGCGGCAUCCUGGACUGGUCCUGACACUCAGGAGCGAAAGCGUGGGGAGCGAUCCGG
rnacentral:rRNA from 1 species